AACGAACGCUGGCGGCAUGCCUAACACAUGCAAGUCGAACGAGACCUUCGGGUCUAGUGGCGCACGGGUGCGUAACGCGUGGGAAUCUGCCCUUGGGUUCGGAAUAACAGUUGGAAACGACUGCUAAUACCGGAUGAUGACGUAAGUCCAAAGAUUUAUCGCCCAGGGAUGAGCCCGCGUAGGAUUAGCUAGUUGGUGGGGUAAAGGCCUACCAAGGCGACGAUCCUUAGCUGGUCUGAGAGGAUGAUCAGCCACACUGGGACUGAGACACGGCCCAGACUCCUACGGGAGGCAGCAGUGGGGAAUAUUGGACAAUGGGCGAAAGCCUGAUCCAGCAAUGACGCGUGAGUGAUGAAGGCCUUAGGGUUGUAAAGCUCUUUUACCCGGGAUGAUAAUGACAGUACCGGGAGAAUAAGCCCCGGCUAACUCCGUG
rnacentral:rRNA from 1 species